AGAGUUUGUGCAGAGAAACGACCUGAUCUGGCUUAAGAUUUAAAAAGACCACUCUAGCUGAUCUGGUGAGAAUAUACUAGAGGCUGGCAAAUAUUCUGUAAAGGGUUAGAGACUAAAUAUUUAAGCUCGUGGGCUAUGCUGUUUCAUAACUAUUCAACUUUUAUAGCACAAAAGUAGCCAUAGAUAAUAUGUAAAUGAAUGAGUGUGGUUGUGUUCCAUUAAAACUUUAUUUAUGGACAUCCACAUUUGAGUUUCAUGUAAUUUUUAUGUGCCUUUUGAUUUCUUUAACCAUUUAGCUCUCAGGAUGUACAAAACCUGGCAGUGGGCUCUGUUUGGCCAGUGGGCAGUAGUAGUAGUUUGUUAACAUGUUAAAUAGACUGUAGUGGACAAGAGAAGAACAGUGGAGACCAUUUAAUAACCUAAGGAAGAGAGAUGAUGGUAAUCCAGAUAAAGAUGAUAGUAAAUGGUGUAAGAAGCAGUAGUAUUUAAAAUAUGUUUUGACUCUUAAGCCAAAAAGACUUGCUGAUGGUUUGGGUGUGGGGAGAGAAAGAGAAGAAUCGAGGAAGACCUCAAGAUUUUGGUUUGAGUACCUUGAAGUAUGUAUUGCCAUCAACUAAGAUGAGUAAGGCUGUAAGUGAAGUGGGUUUCGGGGUAGAAUAUCAGGAGUUUAGUUUUGGACAUGUUGACUUUGAGAUGCCUGUUCGACUUUAAGUGGAGACGGUGAGGAGGUAGAUAGAUAUACAAGUUUGGAAUAUGAAGCAAUGUUUGGUCUGGAGAUAUACUUUUGGGAAUCAUUACAAAGAGAUAGUAUUCAAAGCCUUGUGACUGCAUGGAAUCACCUAGGGAAUAAGUGUAGACAGAAAAGACAAAAGAACCAAGGACUGAACCCAAGGAUAUCACAUCAUUAAGAGGUUGAUACAAGGAGAGGAAGCAGCAAAAGCCAUUGAAAAGGAGCAGUCAGUGAGUUUCUGGUGACAAGGAUAGGAGAGGAAAAGGCUAUAUACUCCACUUUCCUUGGAGACUGGAGUCGAGGUCUGGGACAAGUGACAAAAAGCCAGCAGAAGACAGAGUGGGUUUUCUACUACCAUCAAAAACCUUGACUGAUACAGAGAGAAGAGAGGAGAGGAGAGGAGAGAAUAAAACAGAAGUCGCAGAGCCUGGAAGCAUGACGUGAAGCCACCUCUAUAAGACAAGGUAUGGGCUGCGAUGGGGGAGCGUGUGGAUGCGAAAGCAGAAGGCUUCUCUCUAGGUUGAAAACCAAAUGUUAUUCAGGUUAUGACCACUGACUGUGACUAAAAUGAUUGUGGAAUGUGUAUCAGGUGUGAUUUGGAGACACACGUGAUUGUUUUAGGUGGAAUGCCCGCAUGGCCUUAAAUAACGUUGAAACACAUAGUGAGAAAAUGAUUC